rnacentral:rRNA from 1 species
UACGUAGGUGGCGAGCGUUGUCCGGAAUUACUGGGUGUAAAGGGUGAGUAGGCGGAAUGGCAAGUCAGAUGUGAAAUAUCGGGGCUUAACCCCGGGGCUGCAUUUGAAACUGCUGUUCUUGAGUGAUGGAGAGGCAGGCGGAAUUCCUAGUGUAGCGGUGAAAUGCGUAGAUAUUAGGAGGAACACCAGUGGCGAAGGCGGCCUGCUGGACAUUAACUGACGCUGAGGCGCGAAAGCGUGGGGAGCAAACAGG